rnacentral:rRNA from 1 species
AACGAACGCUGGCGGCAUGCCUAACACAUGCAAGUCGAACGAGACCUUCGGGUCUAGUGGCGCACGGGUGCGUAACGCGUGGGAAUCUGCCCUUGGGUUCGGAAUAACAGUUGGAAACGACUGCUAAUACCGGAUGAUGACGUAAGUCCAAAGAUUCAUCGCCCAGGGAUGAGCCCGCGUAGGAUUAGCUAGUUGGUGGGGUAAAGGCCUACCAAGGCGACGAUCCUUAGCUGGUCUGAGAGGAUGAUCAGCCACACUGGGACUGAGACACGGCCCAGACUCCUACGGGAGGCAGCAGUGGGGAAUAUUGGACAAUGGGCGAAAGCCUGAUCCAGCAAUGCCGCGUGAGUGAUGAAGGCCUUAGGGUUGUAAAGCUCUUUUACCCGGGAUGAUAAUGACAGUACCGGGAGAAUAAGCCCCGGCUAACUCCGUG